rnacentral:rRNA from 1 species
GGACUACCGGGGUAUCUAAUCCCGUUCGCUCCCCUGGCUUUCGUGUGUGAGCGUCAGGAACGCGCCAGUGCACUGCCUUCGCCUUUGGUGUUCCCCACGAUAUCAACGGAUUUCACCCCUCCACCGUGAGUUCCAUGCACCUCUCGCGCCCUCGAGCCCUGCCGUUUCGCUUGCGGGCCACAGGUUAAGCCUGUGGAUUUUACAAACGACUAACAGGGCCACCUGGACACCCUUUACGCCCAGUGAUUCCGGGUAAUGCUCGGACCCUCUGUAUUACCGCGGCUGCUGGCAC